GACGAACGCUGGCGGCGUGCUUAACACAUGCAAGUCGAACGGAAGGGCCCUGCUUGCAGGGUACUCGAGUGGCGAACGGGUGAGGAACACGUGGGUGAUCUGCCCUGCACUUCGGGAUAAGCCUGGGAAACUGGGUCUAAUACCGGAUAUGACCUUCCAUGUAGUGUGGGGGGUGGAAAGAUUUAUCGGUGUGGGAUGAGCCCGCGGCCUAUCAGCUUGUUGGUGGGGUAAUGGCCUACCAAGGCGUCGACGGGUAGCCGGCCUGAGAGGGUGGACGGCCACAUUGGGACUGAGAUACGGCCCAGACUCCUACGGGAGGCAGCAGUGGGGAAUAUUGCACAAUGGGCGGAAGCCUUAUGCAGCGACGCCGCGUGGGGGAUGACGGCCUUCGGGUUGUAAACCUCUUUCGACAGGGACGAAGCUUCGGUGACGGUACCUGUAUAAGAAGCACCGGCUAACUACGUG
rnacentral:rRNA from 1 species